GAACAAGGGAAUAAUGAAAAAGAAGGAAAAGAGCUCCUUUCUGAAAAGGAUGACCCAGAUGGGGAUUUCAAUUUUCUAAUGGAAGUUCAGGCCCAAGACUAAACUAAAUUAAGGCAGAAGUUGAAGGAAGUGCAAGAUGCUGCCUGCAUGCUCCAUGAGAAUCUCAGCAACUACCUUGCUGAAGAUAACCAGCACAGACACCAGGUGCACGGACACAGAAACAAACUUGCUGAGUGGUGCAAGAUGGCCAAGUGCCUUGCCCAUAAACUUAGCCCAGAUAAUCUGGGUGAUAAGGAUGAAGAUGAUCAGAUAACCCUGGACUCCAGGUGAGA